AUUGAACGCUGGCGGCAGGCCUAACACAUACAAGUCGAACGAGUGGCGGACGGGUGCGUAAUGUCUGGGAAACUGCCUGAUGGAGGGGGAUCACUACUGGAAACGGUCGCUAAUACCGCAUACCCUCAGAUGUGCCCAUAUGGGAAUAGCUUGUUGGUGGGGUAACGGCUCCCCAAGGCGACGCUCCCUAGCGGGUCUGAGAGGAUGACCAGCCACACUGGAACUGAGACACGGUCCAGACUCCUACGGGAGGCAGCAGUGGGGAAUAUUGCACAAUGGGCGCAAGCCUGAUGCAGCCAUGCCGCGUGUAUGAAGAAGGCCUUAGGGUUGUAAAGUACUUUCAGCGGGGAGGCGUUACCGGCAGAAGAAGCACCGGCUAACUCCGUGCCAGCAGCCGCGGUAAGUC
rnacentral:rRNA from 1 species